CCUUGCCUCUUUUCAAUGGUUGCGGGAAAGAAGCUCUUAACAUAGGGCGUUGAAGCUAUUGCGUUCUACUUUCAGGUUAGCAGUGUACUUUCAUUGUUGUAGAGUUCCUGAAGCCAACAAGCAAAUCGUUAGGAAUUCUUUGAGUUGUGUGCUAAGGCGAGUUCCACUUGUUGCGUUGUAUGUUAGUGUGCUAAGGAGAGUUCAAUGUAGGUAAGGGUAACCAGGAAAGAAGCUCAGUAUAAGAGGUCGUUGAAGCGUUAGCAAUGCGAGAGCUGAUAGUGGAAGAGAAUAUAAGCUAUAUCGGUGUGAGAGCUUAGUGGAAGAUAGAAUAAGCUAUAUCGGUGUGAUGUGAGUGUUGUCUACGAGAAUUGCCUUAUUGGCUUUCUUUCCCUUGUAGUGGUAAAGACUUAUAUGCGUCAACAGAUUGUCCCGCAGCAGUGGUCCAAGUGGCAUAUGAUAGAUAGUGGUCCAAGUGGCAUAUGAUAGAAUCUAGUAAACAAUUCAAGUAAACAAGCUUCUUUCUCUCAUAUGAUAGAAUCUAGUAAACAGACUUAUGUUUUUCUCAUUUUGAUAGUUAACGAGCAUCUUUAUCUCAUUUAGAAAAGCGUAAACGAGCAUCUUUCUCUCAUUCUGAUUGCUUCCUAUAGAUAGGGGUAAAUCAUCUGCUUCAAUAACUGUGCUGCUCAUCUUGAACUUGGACUGCAUUAAUGGGUUUGAGUAUAGGGUUUGGGUAAAUCAUCUGCUUCAAUAACUGUGCAGCCUAUCUUGAACUUGGGCAGCAUUAAUGUCACUAUAGGGGUCAAUAAUGGAUUGAGUAGUCAGGGCGCCCUUACGUUUUUCAGUAGCAAACUCUUUUCUUGCCUUGCUUAUCUUCUUGUUCCGACAAACUCACUAACAAGGCUCUUAGCACCUUGCUUCUUGUUUACUUGUUCAUAUGGUACACCUCAGCAGCAUAUAGAAGAACGUAAAAACACUUCCGUGGAGCCAGCUAAAGCUGCCCUUGCUUAUUCGAAAGCCCCUUAGUGAUUGUUCCAUUGUGCUAAGGCGAGUUCCUCUUUCUAGGCCCGAAACUUACUUAUUGAAUAUUGACAUCUCUCUAAGAAUAAGGUCACUGGUUACUUCAUUGCCUAAAGCUUGGUUGUUUGCGCCCUAGUCCUAAUGCUGUAGAGUCAAAUACUCAAUUCUGGAACCAUAUAGGCUCAAAAGAAAGACAGAGGUAGGUUGGGUUGCCAAAAGACAGAGGUAGGUUGGGUUGCCGAAGGAUGGUUAUCGGUUCAAGCACUUAACUCACUUCAGAAUGGAAUUUGGUUGUUCCAUUGCUUCUGAAACUCCACCACUUGCUUAAAGAAAAUAAGCGCUUUAUUGGCAGCGGAACCCUUUAUUACUAUGUUGGCAGGUAAACCCAACACUAUGCGGAACCAGACUGCUAACUCCAAAUGUAGAAUAUUCGAUUUAGAAGCUGCAUUACUUCAAAACGAAAAUGUUGACUGUGCUGACUCAACGCACCCUACUACCCCGCGCAACAAUUAGGAUAGGCACCCCGGAAGUUCUCCUUUACGUUACUUCUUGUCCUUGCUUGUUCUGUUAUAAUAGUGACUUCUUGCCGCUGUAAGUUGAGGUUACUCUAUUAUAGAAGAAUGUGACUCAUAUUGGAAUUUAGGGCACUUAGAAAAGCAUAGAGUCAGGAGUCAAGUGAAGAAAUGACAUAAUAAGGUGUACUCUCCUCCAUUCUUUGAAAAAUCAUAUCCAUCUUUGUUUGCUUUUGUGAAGCAUAUAACUGUUCUCUUUGGAGUAAGUAGUAUAAGUAAUUGCUUCCGAGGUAGGUUACUUUUGCACAUUAUAGGUGCAUGCACUCAAUGAAUAAGAUGCAUCCAGAUAUGGGGAAGGAACUUCAAGUCGAGGAAUCAAUUCUAACUCUUAAAGGGGGAAGGUCUGGAGUUGCAAUUUGGAAUUGUUGCCAGGAACACUAGCGGCCCUUUAGCCAUGACGGACAAAGGACUUGGCGGUUCAAGGCUGGUUGCUUGGUGGCUUUCACUUCCAAUAUAGAAUGAACUUAAGUAGCCUACUCCUAACUCGCAAUCAACUACUGCUUGCUUUUAGUCUUCUUCCUCUGCCCGCCCAGUUAGCCUUCCACUUCUGAACUAGCCUGCGCCCUACCUUGCUUUCAACCUAUAGCUGCAGCUUCUCAGAAUAGAUCUACCGGCAACCAGACUACAUAAACCUCUAUUCUAUGAAGUAAUAAUAAAAGAAUAAAGUGAAGGGUUUUAACCAAUAACUGGAAUUGAGCGACUAAUGAUUAGACUUGCACUGCUGCUUCUAAUGCCUUAACCCUAUAAAUAAGAAUGAACUGUCUGAGUAACAAGAUUGAAGCAAGCAACUGGGAAUGAAAACGAUGCUAAAAGGAAUGAAAAGUCACGGGGCUACUGCCGCCGAAGGAACUUAACUGUGCCUUUGCUACUGGUCCUACUUUAAUGGAUUCAAAGUCAACACUAUUGUCUCUCUCAAAUAGGAAGGGAUAUGGAGUGAUUCAUAAGUGCUAACGGGAUCUGUCUUUGCUUCUGUCUCUACCAGUCUG
rnacentral:lncRNA from 1 species